CUCUGAAGACAUUAUUCUAUUGUCUUCUGGCUCCAAUUUUAUUAUUAAUGAUUCUCAUAGCUUUUUUCUCUAGUUGCUUUAAAGAUUUCCUCAUUGCCUGUUGUGGCCAAUGUAGCAAGAUGUCAAUUAGAACUUUUUUCUUGCUUUGGGAGUCACUUUGUGUCAAUGCUUUUUGUCAGCUUGAAUGUUUUGAUAAACUGUCAAUACCUACCCCACCACCACCACUUCCUGAGCUACAUUGUGGGUUAUUUUCUCAGGUCUAUAUCCUUUAAUAACUAUACCUCUUACCUGAGGAAGUUCUACUUGGUUAUUUUUAAAGGGUACCUGGUCAUUUCUUUUUUGUCUUUUUGAUUCCUUCUUGUAAGAUAUCUAAAACACUUAAUUUCUUAGGGAUUUAACUUCUUGCUGUUUUGUCUGCUAAUUCACUCCUGGUGGGUUGUUUGCUUAAAUGUUUUCUAAUUUUGAGUUGUGAGCUUACCUUCAGCAGGGUUUUACUGAUGGCAAUCCUGCGGCCUCCGUGGUUAUUUUGUAUUUAUUUCUGCCAGGUGUCUAAAAAAUUUUUUUGAGGCCAGGACCAUUUUGUUAAUUCUAAACAAAAAUUGUUUCCUGGAUUGGGCAUGGCAUGUAAAUUACAUACAUCCCAAACUCUAAUAAAAACAGGUCUCUAGAUUAAAGUUUUAGGGGAAACAACAGAGGCUUAUACUGAGACUGAGCCCAGAAAGAUAAGCUUCUUCAUUAUUAACCUGUAUUAGUAGAAGAUGCGUCUAAUCUACCAUUUCACAGCAAUUAUAUCUCCCUUUGAGGGUUCCAGUUUUAUAUGAGGGAUCUCACAAAGGUCAUGUGAGCCCCAAGCCUUUUCCAUCUCACUGUGGAUAUUAACACCAAGCUCCUGGCAGGUCUGUUGGUACCUGCUGUUCUGUCAUCCUACCAGAAAAUGAGAUUAUUCCUCUGCAGAAGAAGAUAAAGCAGGGCUACUAGACUAGGAGACACCAGGCACAGCUGAGGGUGACAGUACCAACCCGCAAACAAGGAGACCAGUGAAUGGCAUUUCUGGCUUCUUCCCCCACCCAACUUCUUUCAAGGCUCUCGGCUUCAACCCAGGAUACAGAGAAAGAAACAGCUUGGACAAAAACACGGAGGAGCACUGAUCUAUGGAGGGUCAGCACAAGGAGGGGAAAUAGAGGUAUACCAGGUCUAGAGCUAUGUUCUUCAGACUAUGUUCUGACACUUCUGGACAAAAAGAAAAACAUGCCUCUUCUUGGGAGAGAAGACUGUUCUGAGAAGUAUUCAUUAUUCCAAAAUGGACAACUCUGAAACAAGAGUACAUUGACAUCAAUUAAAGUGGAGAUGAAGAACAGCAAGAGAGGACAAAGUAUAAAAAUUAAAGAAAAUACUCUCUAUGUGAAGCACCUGCUAUAUAUAUCAGGCACUGUUGACUGGAGGAGCAUCUUAAUCAAUCUAUGAUCAAAUUACAAAUGAAAGGCCAUCUGAGAACAAAGCAAGAAUGUGACCCUUGACAAGCCAGGGAGAGAGCCUUCAUCGGAACCUGACCAUACUGAAUGUACACUGAAGUCAACGUUCCCCAUGACACAUUCCCAUGGAGACCCAAUAUCCAGGAUUAGCAAGAAUACAGUGUAUUAAAUGUCUUUUUUUGAGUUGCCUACUUUCUUCAAAGAUGCUCCUGAUUUGUUUUUGCUAUAGAUAUUUGAUUUCCUAAAUAAUUCAAAUCCAUUCUCCUCUCUCAUGUUUUUACUCUAUCAGUCCCUCUCCCAUCCCCACAGUUUUUAAUUAUUUGAAGUAGGCAUGUUCUCCUAGUUAUAAGGGCUCCUAACAUUGGGUACUUUAAUUUUGAAGUGCUCAUCAUUCUUGUAAUUAUUCAUAUGUCCUUGGAUUGUGAAUUCCAUGAAGUUGGGCACAAUUUCUGAUUUGUUCACUGCUACAUGCCCCUGUGUUAUAGCAGAGCCUGGAUCAUGAAGGAGUGAUGUAGUUUUAUAAUGCAAGUCACAAGAACUUACCUCUUAGCAGCCCCAGGAUCUAGAGUCAUGUCAACAGUAGGCAUUAAAUAAAUGAUGGUUGAUACCUUUGCACAUAC